rnacentral:rRNA from 1 species
ACCCCGUGAACCUUUACUAUAGCUUGACACUGAACAUUGAGCCUUGAUGUGUAGGAUAGGUGGGAGGCUUUGAAGCGUGGACGCCAGUCUGCGUGGAGCCAACCUUGAAAUACCACCCUUUAAUGUUUGAUGUUCUAACGUUGGCCCCUGACCGGGGUUGCGGACAGUGUCUGGUGGGUAGUUUGACUGGGGCGGUCUCCUCCCAAAGCGUAACGGAGGAGCACGAAGGUUAGCUAAUCCUGGUCGGACAUCAGGAGGUUAGUGCAAUGGCAUAAGCUAGCUUGACUGCGAGCGUGAC